rnacentral:lncRNA from 1 species
CCGAUUUUCCAGUAGGAACAUGUGACCCAGUUGCAGCCAAUGAGAUGUCAGGAGAAGUUGGCUGGGGGCUUCUGGGAAAUGGUUCUUAGCUCCUAGAAAGAGAUACAAGGAAGAGAUGGCCCCCUUCUCACCUCGGGAUGUUGCAUGUGGAUGUUUGCCUGGAGCUGUGGCAGCCGUUUCGAUGCGAUGAGGAGAGACAUGAAGAUGGCAGUGAAGACAGAAAGAACUGGAGUCCUCGAUGUCAUAAUUGAGCUGCAGAAUUAACCACCCCUCGAGCUGCCCUACCUCUGAAUGCCUUGUAAAG